rnacentral:rRNA from 1 species
UCGGGAAUUUUGGGCAAUGGGGGAAACCCUGACCCAGCAACGCCGCGUGAAGGAUGAAGUAUUUCGGUAUGUAAACUUCGAAAGAAUAGGAAGAAUAAAUGACGGUACUAUUUAUAAGGUCCGGCUAACUACGUGCCAGCAGCCGCGGUAAUACGUAGGGACCAAGCGUUGUUCGGAUUUACUGGGCGUAAAGGGCGCGUAGGCGGCAUGACAAGUCACUUGUGAAAUCUCUGGGCUUAACCCAGAACGGCCAAGUGAUACUGUCGCGCUAGAGUGCAGAAGGGGCAAUCGGAAUUCUUGGUGUAGCGGUGAAAUGCGUAGAUAUCAAGAGGAACACCUGAGGUGAAGACGGGUUGCUGGGCUGACAAUGACGCUGAGGCGCGAAAGCCAGGGGAGCAAACGGGAUUAGAUACCCUAGUAGUCCCUGAGCGGGCUGGCAAGGCGCAU